UUAAACUAUUGAGCAAGAACGGCAAGCUCCCUGUCAGAGCGACUAAAUAUGCCGCUGGACUAGACAUUUUUUCUUCUCAGACUAUCACCAUUCCAUCAUGGAGUACUAUUAAAGUUCCUACUGACAUUGCCAUAUCUAUAGAAAAUGGUCACUAUGGACGUAUAGCAUCUCGAUCCCAUAUGGAACUAAAAAAUAUUUCCGUGGUUGGGGGCGUCAUAGACUCAGAUUACCGCGGGCCCAUCAGUGUACUUUGUUUUAAUCAUUGUUCAACAGAUUACACAAUCCAAAAAGGCGAUCGCAUUGCGCAACUUAUAAUCGAAAAAAUUUCCCUAGCUCAACCUGAAAAGGUUGAGGUGCUAGAUGAGACUGAUCGUGGGGAAAAAGGUUUUGGUAGCACAGGAUCUAAUUGAAAAUUUUACAGAAUUCAUUAUCCGACGUACGAUAAUU